UUUGAAGGGCUCAAAUUUAUUGAUGUUGGCUGUGGAGGUGGAAUUCUUUCUGAGCCUUUAGCUCGGAUGAGAGCUGCUGUAACAGGAGUUGAUGCUGUUAAGAAAAAUAUCAAGAUAGCUCGCUUUCACUCAGUAUGGACUUGGAUCCAGUGACCUCAAAACUUGAAUGUCAAUGCACUACAGCUGUGCGGUUAAAAGUUACAAUGCUGAAAAGGGGAGGGCUAACAAAGUGCCUAAAUUAAGACUACU
rnacentral:lncRNA from 1 species